AUGUGGUCGACCGGGUCGUUUGCACCGGCUAUAUCCGGUAACCGAAGUCAUAAACCGAAAGUGACGUUUCACUUUUUCCUAGCUCGCGGUUUGGAUGUUUGUCAGAAAGGUUGUAUUACUGCGGUGAAGAUCUUAGAGAAAGGAGUGUUACCAUCGGCGUUUAAUACUAAAUCUGCCUGUUACAUUGAAUUUGUAUAUUGUUUGAUUAUAUUUUGA